UGGGGAAUUUUGGACAAUGGGCGCAAGCCUGAUCCAGCCAUGCCGCGUGAGUGAAGAAGGCCUUCGGGUUGUAAAGCUCUUUCGGCGGGGACGAAACGGUCCGUGACAACACCACGGACUAAUGACGGUACUCGCAGAAGAAGCACCGGCUAACUACGUGCCAGCAGCCGCGGUAAUACGUAGGGUGCAGGCGUUAAUCGGAAUUACUGGGCGUAAAGCGUGCGCAGGCGGCUCCUUAAGUCAGAUGUGAAAGCCCCGGGCUUAACCUGGGAACUGCGUUUGAAACUGGGGAGCUGGAGUGUGGAAGAGGGGGGUGGAAUUCCAGGUGUAGCAGUGAAAUGCGUAGAGAUCUGGAGGAACACCGAUGGCGAAGGCAGCCCCCUGGGCUAACACUGACGCUCAUGCACGAAAGCGUGGGGAGCAAACAG
rnacentral:rRNA from 1 species